rnacentral:pre_miRNA from 1 species
CGGGGGUGGCGGAUCCUGGGCUGUGUCCCCGGUGCCCUGUGCUCCAGGGCCUGCACUGUUGGAAUUGCUCUCCAGGCCAGGCAGCCCCCU